UUUCCAUGCCGGGAGUCGAACCCGGGCCGCCUGGGUGAGAGCCAGAAUCCUGACCGCUAGACCACAUGGGA
rnacentral:tRNA from 13 species